rnacentral:rRNA from 1 species
GAUGAACGCUGGCGGCGUGCCUAAUACAUGCAAGUCGAGCGAAUGGAUUAAGAGCUUGCUCUUAUGAAGUUAGCGGCGGACGGGUGAGUAACACGUGGGUAACCUGCCCAUAAGACUGGGAUAACUCCGGGAAACCGGGGCUAAUACCGGAUAACAUUUUGAACCGCAUGGUUCGAAAUUGAAAGGCGGCUUCGGCUGUCACUUAUGGAUGGACCCGCGUCGCAUUAGCUAGUUGGUGAGGUAACGGCUCACCAAGGCAACGAUGCGUAGCCGGCCUGAGAGGGUGAUGGGCCACACUGGGACUGAGACACGGCCCAGACUCCGACGGGAGGUAGCAGUAGGGAAUCUUCCGCAAUGGACGAAAGUCUGGCGGAGCAACGCCGCGUGAGUGAUGAAGGCUUUCGGGUCGUAAAACUCUGUUGUUAGGGAAAAACAAGUGCUAGUUGAAUAAGCUGACACCUUGACGGUACCUAACCAGAAAGCCACGGCUAACUACGUGCCAGCCGCCGCAGUAA